UACGUAGGUGGCAAGCGUUAUCCGGAAUUAUCGGGCGUAAAGAGCGCGCAGGUGGUUGAUUAAGUCUGAUGUGAAAGCCCACGGCUUAACCGUGGAGGGUCAUUGGAAACUGGUCGACUUGAGUGCAGAAGAGGGAAGUGGAAUUCCAUGUGUAGCGGUGAAAUGCGUAGAGAUAUGGAGGAACACCAGUGGCGAAGGCGGCUUCCUGGUCUGUAACUGACACUGAGGCGCGAAAGCGGUGGGGAGCAAACAGGAUUAGAUA
rnacentral:rRNA from 1 species